rnacentral:rRNA from 1 species
UGCCAGCAGCCGCGGUAAUACGGAGGGUGCAAGCGUUAAUCGGAAUUACUGGGCGUAAAGCGCACGUAGGCGGCACGUUAAGUCGGAUGUGAAAUCCCAGGGCUCAACCUUGGAACUGCAUUCGAUACUGGCGAGCUAGAGUGUGUGAGAGGGUAGUGGAAUUCCAGGUGUAGCGGUGAAGUGCGUAGAUAUCUGGAGGAACAUCAGUGGCGAAGGCGACUACCUGGCACAACACUGACGCUGAGGAGCGAAAGCGUGGGGAGCUAACAGGAUUCGAUA